AGCCCCGGUGCCGUCGGCGCCUUACCAAGCAAGAACUCAAGGGGAAAACACCCCACCAAGCCCCACCCUUUCCCGCCCGAGGCACGUGAUCACUCGGGCGGGUGAACAUCACCGGCUCAGCUGGAUUUCCGCACCCCCGACACCCUUACGCUCAGCGCACACCACCCGAAAAAGACUUCGGCCCCCGCCGGGACUGGCAUCCCGGUGCGAGGGCCUGACCACCCAGGAAGAACGGACCUUCCCG
rfam:Streptomyces caelestis strain NRRL B-24567 P188contig78.1, whole genome shotgun sequence.